rnacentral:rRNA from 1 species
ACGUGAUAUCCUGUCUGAAGAUGGGGGGACCAUCCUCCAAGGCUAAAUACUCCUGACUGACCGAUAGUGAACCAGUACCGUGAGGGAAAGGCGAAAAGAACCCCGGCGAGGGGAGUGAAACAGAACCUGAAACCGUGUACGUACAAGCAGUGGGAGCCUUCGUAAGAGGGUGACUGCGUACCUUUUGUAUAAUGGGUCAGCGACUUAUAUUCUGUAGCAAGGUUAACCGUAUAGGGGAGCCGAAGGGAAACCGAGUCUUAACCGGGCGUUAAGUUGCAGGGUAUAGACCCGAAACCCGGUGAUCUAGCCAUGGGCAGGUUGAAGGUUGAGUAACAUCAACUGGAGGACCGAACUCACUGAU